rnacentral:rRNA from 1 species
UACGAGGGGGGCGAGCGUUGUUCGGAAUUACUGGGCGUAAAGGGUGCGUAGGUGGUUUGUUAAGUCUGCUGUGAAAUCCCCGGGCUCAACCUGGGAAUGGCAGUGGAUACUGGCAAGCUAGAGUGCGGUAGAGGGUAGUGGAAUUCCCGGUGUAGCAGUGAAAUGCGUAGAGAUCGGGAGGAAUACCAGAGGCGAAGGCGACGACCUGGACAGGCACUGACACUCAACUACGAAAGCGUGGGGAUCAAACAGG